GGAUAGAACACCAGUGAUGUGAGCUGGGUGUGACCAGUCACCUGUCUCUGACAGUUGGUUGGCUAUCCCUCCUAUCAGUCACCUCUGGGACGCUUUAGGUUGGCCAAGUUAGGUGUCAAUCAAAAGGUAACAAAUUAGUCUGUCAAUCUCU